rnacentral:rRNA from 1 species
GUGUCAGCAGCCGCGGUAAUACGGGGGGUGCAAGCGUUAAUCGGAAUCACUGGGCGUAAAGGGUGCGUAGGCGGUACGUUAGGUCUGUCGUGAAAUCCCCGGGCUCAACCUGGGAAUGGCGGUGGAAACCGGCGCACUAGAGUAUGGGAGAGGGUGGUGGAAUUCCAGGUGUAGCGGUGAAAUGCGUAGAGAUCUGGAGGAACAUCAGUGGCGAAGGCGGCCACCUGGCCCAAUACUGACGCUGAGGCACGAAAGCGUGGGGAGCAAACAGGAUUAGAAACCCCGGUAGUCC